rnacentral:rRNA from 1 species
UGGGGAAUUUUGGACAAUGGGCGAAAGCCUGAUCCAGCAAUGCCGCGUGUGUGAAGAAGGCCUUCGGGUUGUAAAGCACUUUUGUCCGGAAAGAAAUCCUCUGGGUUAAUACCUCGGGGGGAUGACGGUACCGGAAGAAUAAGCACCGGCUAACUACGUGCCAGCAGCCGCGGUAAUACGUAGGGUGCAAGCGUUAAUCGGAAUUACUGGGCGUAAAGCGUGCGCAGGCGGUUUUGUAAGACGGAUGUGAAAUCCCCGGGCUUAACCUGGGAACUGCAUUCGUGACUGCAAGGCUAGAGUAUGGCAGAGGGGGGUAGAAUUCCACGUGUAGCAGUGAAAUGCGUAGAGAUGUGGAGGAAUACCGAUGGCGAAGGCAGCCCCCUGGGCCAAUACUGACGCUCAUGCACGAAAGCGUGGGGAGCAAACAGGAUUAGAUACCCUGGUAGUCCACGCCCUAAACGAUGUCGACUAGUUGUUGGGGAUUCAUUUCCUUAGUAACGUAGCUAACGCGUGAAGUUGACCGCCUGGGGAGUACGGUCGCAAGAUUAAAACUCAAAUGAAUUGACGGGGUCAUAGCUGUUUCCU